rnacentral:rRNA from 1 species
UAGAGUUUGAUCAUGGCUCAGGAUGAACGCUGGCUGUACGCCUAACACAUGCAAGUCGAACGAAGGUUUUACCUUAGUGGCGGACGGGUGAGUAACACGUGAGAAUCUACCCUUAGGAGGGGAAUAACAAUUGGAAACGAUUGCUAAUGCCCCAUAUGCUGAAAAGUGAAAUGUUUUUUCGCCUGAGGAUGAGCUCGCGCCUGAUUAGCUAGUUGGUAAGAUAAAAGCCUACCAAGGCGACGAUCAGUAGCUGGUUUGAGAGGAUGAUCAGCCACACUGGGACUGAGACACGGCCCAGACUUCUACGGGAGGCAGCAGUGGGGAAUUUUCCGCAAUGGGCGAAAGCCUGACGGAGCAAUACCGCGUGAGGGAAGAAUGCCCGUGGGUUGUAAACCUCUUUUCUUAAGGAAGAAGAUCUGACGGUACUUAAGGAAUAAGCAUCGGCUAACUCCGUGCCAGCAGCCGCGGUAAUACGGAGGAUGCAAGCGUUAUCCGGAAUCAUUGGGCGUAAAGCGUCUGUAGGUGGCUUAGCAAGUCUGCUGUUAAAUCUUAGGGCUCAACCCUAAAUCAGCAGUGGAAACUUCUAGGCUAGAGUAUGGUAGGGGCAGAGGGAAUUCCCAGUGUAGCGGUGAAAUGCGUAGAUAUUGGGAAGAACACCAGUGGCGAAAGCGCUCUGCU